GCCAGGGCGGUCUACCAGAGCAGGUCCAGCUGAUCAGACCAGAACCAAUCCCAGACCCAGGCCAUCCUACAACCGGCCAACCAGCAGGCCAUCCUCACUGGCUCAGCCAAUCAGACGUUGCAGCUUCGUCCAGCCCAGUCUUCCCGCUACAGAUGCAGACCUUACAGGGCUCCCAGACCCAGGUAAUGACUACAGUACCCAUAAACAUCGGCGGUAUGACCCUCGCCCUGCCGGUCAUGAAUAAUUUAGCGGGGGGCGGAGCCGUGCAGCUUAUCCAAGCAGCAGACGGCAGCUUUACCGUAGCUAACAGUAACCAGCUUGUGACAAACACGGCGGCGGCGGUGUCCGGGGCAGCUACCGGGUCAUCUGGCGGUCCAUAACAACUGUUGCCGGGUGCGAUGGAGCAUUGUCGGACGGAACACAGCUGAGUUCUGUACCGGGUCGGACGGAGGGGCGGAGAGAGACUCACAGAACCAACCCAGCGAGCAGGACUCACAGAACUCACAGAUGAGCCAGGCCAACGGACUACAGGGCCAAUCAGAUCCUCCAGGGACCAUCCAGCAGGUCAUCGUGGGACAGAUGGGCAACCAGGUGUUGCAGCAGAUCCAGAUCCAGCCACAGAACCAGGUAACAACACAC